UACGGAGGGAGCUAGCGUUGUUCGGAAUUACUGGGCGUAAAGCGUGCGUAGGCGGUGACUCAAGUCAGAGGUGAAAGCCUUGAGAGCAACUCCAGAACUGCCUUUGAAACUAGGUCGCUAGAAUCUGGGAGAGGUGAGUGGAAUUCCGAGUGUAGAGGUGAAAUUCGUAGAUAUUCGGAAGAACACCAGUGGCGAAGGCGGCUCACUGGACCAGAAUUGACGCUGAGGCACGAAAGCGUGGGGAGCAAACAGG
rnacentral:rRNA from 1 species